GAGCGGAAAGGCCCUUCGGGGUACUCGAGCGGCGAACGGGUGAGUAACACGUGAGCAAUCUGCCCUUAGCUUCGGGAUAGCUCCGGGUAAACCGGUAAUUAAUACCGGAUAUGACUACGGCCGACAUCAGCCGUGGUGGAAAGAUUUAUCGGCUAGGGAUGAGCUCGCGGCCUAUCAGCUUGUUGGUGGGGUAACGGCCUACCAAGGCGACGACGGGUAGCCGGCCUGAGAGGGCGACCGGCCACACUGGGACUGAGACACGGCCCAGACUCCUACGGGAGGCAGCAGUGGGGAAUAUUGCGCAAUGGGCGAAAGCCUGACGCAGCGACGCCGCGUGCGGGAUGAAGGCCUUCGGGUUGUAAACCGCUUUCAGCAGGGACGAAGCGAAAGUGACGGUACCUGCAGAAGAAGCGCCGGCUAACUACGUGCCAGCAGCCGCGGUAAU
rnacentral:rRNA from 1 species